CUCGUCACCAAGUGAGGUUUUAUGCUGAUUAUUAUUUUGAGUAAUUACCAAUAGUGUCCACUGCCUUUAAACACCACAAUGUUAUGCACGAUUAUUUUUUCCUAAGUUUGUAAAUUCACAUUAUGUAUUAUUUUUUUAACAAUCUUUGUGAGCGUUUAGAGACACUAGAUUUGCGCUACAUGUAUAUUCAUUUGAAGGGAAUUUAACUCUGUAUUCGUUAAAAUGAUUGGUUGAUUUUUUGUUGGGGGUAAAGGUAAGUACCAGAGGGAAUUCCCCUCAUUGGAUUAAAGGUAAAGUACCAGAGGGAAUUCCCCUCAUUGGAUUAAAGGUAAAGUACCAGAGGGAAUUCCCCUCAUUGGAUUAAAGGCCACUUUAUUACAUUAUUGACAUCUCUCCGUCUUCAAAAGUUCUUCAAGGCUAGAAUUCUUUCUGAGAGGUUUAGUAUUCCUGUGAUUUUAAGCUGUUUUUGUAAACCUCCCCUUGCCUUAAAUUUUGCUGAACAAAAUGUAAUAUUUCUAAAGAAUGUUAAUUGAUGAUAAAACGCCCUUUGUUAUCUCUUAAACUUAAUGAACAGUAAAGAACAGUUUGUAUGAAAAACUGGAAGGAACGGGUACAUGUUGUAAUCCUACAUCCAUUGCCCGACCUAGGGGUAGGGGUUGGGGUGAGAGGUGCUAGAGCAACUCCAAGGGCCUGCUGUUUUUUGUUUUAGUUUUGUUUUUCUCCACAAAGAGAAAACUAAAAGGAAGGGACAUUGUUACCAUAUUGGAGUGUAGAGCAUUGGCACAUAUUUUCAACAUGAGCCACUGAUUCCAAAGGCCAACACCCCUAAACCUGCCGAAGGCAUCAUUUACAUGUAUUUCCCAUCCCCUGCCAAGAUAUUCUGCCCAACCUUCUUACCUGAACCUUCUCCUAUUGGUAUACUUCCAAGACUAUAAUAAUGUGUUGAAUUCAGAAGAAUCAACAUUCCAUUUUAUCUGAGAAAUGAAAGUUAGAAUGGAAAUUUUGAAAAGAAGAGUGAUUUUACUGAAUAGUGUCCACAUUUUGUAACCCUUUUUACACUAGCUAUUUUGGACCUAAGAACUGUUAUAUUUAAAUAUUGGUAAGCUUUUCAUGUUGUGUACAUUGCGUUGGUCAUUUUUGACACUUGUUUGCAUAUCAGAAUAAAGAGGGACAUUAAUGGAUACACAAUCAA